GCUGCACACUGUUAAAGCUCGGGGCGGAGGCCCGUCUUGGCCAAUGAACUUCGGGUGUCGGAAGUGUGCUACAUUGACGGCAGGGUGCUCGCCAGCUCCAGGAGAGCCUGCCUCUAUGACUGGAGGUGGAUAGUGCUCUCUGCCACAUGC